GCCCGUUUAGCUCAGUGGUAGAGCGUGUCACUCGUAUGAGCUUCUCACCUGGAGAUAGCCUCAAACUGCAAUGACAAGGUCGCUAGUUCAAUCCUGGCAGGGGGCA